rnacentral:ribozyme from 1 species
GAAGAAGAAAAGAGCAAAAACAGGAGAACAAGGAGAGAGGAGAAAGAUCGUUCCAAAAUCGCAGAGUCUCUUUCUCUUUCUCUCUUUCUCUUUCUCUCUCUCUCUCUCCCGUU